rnacentral:lncRNA from 1 species
AGGAAAGAAAAAGAAGAAAGAAAAAAAGAAAAAGGAAAGGAAAAAAAGAAGAAAAAGGAAAGAAAAAGAAGAAAAAAGAAAGAAAAAGAAGAAAAGGAAAGAAAAAGAAGAGAAGGAAAGAAAAAGAAGAAAGAAAAAAAGAAGAAAAGGAAAGAAAAAAAAGACAGUUAAGUAUUCUUUGUACACAAUUAAGUCUUUCCUGCACACAGACUUAAUUGUGUCCAGAGAAUACUUAACUGCGUACAGAUAGCACUUAACUGUGUGCAUCACACAGUUAAGUAUUCUCUGUACAUAAUUAAAUCUUCUUUGCACACAGUUAAGUGUUCUCUAAAUCACACAGUUAAGUAUGUGCAGAGAAGAUUUAAUUGUGCGCAGAGAAGAUUUAACUGUAUGUAUUACACAGUUAGGUGUUCUCAGGGGCG